rnacentral:rRNA from 2 species
AGAGUUUGAUCCUGGCUCAGAUUGAACGCUGGCGGCAGGCCUAACACAUGCAAGUCGAGCGGCAGCGGGAAAGUAGCUUGCUACUUUUGCCGGCGAGCGGCGGACGGGUGAGUAAUGCCUGGGAAAUUGCCCAGUCGAGGGGGAUAACAGUUGGAAACGACUGCUAAUACCGCAUACGCCCUACGGGGGAAAGCAGGGGACCUUCGGGCCUUGCGCGAUUGGAUAUGCCCAGGUGGGAUUAGCUAGUUGGUGAGGUAAUGGCUCACCAAGGCGACGAUCCCUAGCUGGUCUGAGAGGAUGAUCAGCCACACUGGAACUGAGACACGGUCCAGACUCCUACGGGAGGCAGCAGUGGGGAAUAUUGCACAAUGGGGGAAACCCUGAUGCAGCCAUGCCGCGUGUGUGAAGAAGGCCUUCGGGUUGUAAAGCACUUUCAGCGAGGAGGAAAGGUUGAUGCCUAAUACGUAUCAACUGUGACGUUACUCGCAGAAGAAGCACCGGCUAACUCCGUGCCAGCAGCCGCGGUAAU